ACUUAAGUAGUUUAUAUAAAAUAUUGAUUUGUGGUGUCGAUGAAAUAGUUUUCUAUCUUAGGUC
rnacentral:tRNA from 1 species